AAGUAAAAAUGGUUAAGGGCUUUUUAUAUACUUUUCAUUCUGAUGGGUUAUUUGGGAUUUAAAGUUUUUGACAUUCUCAGAGGUUCCAUAAAUUUGCAGCAGGUAACGUCAUUUUCCCUUUAUGAGUCCGUGCAAUAAGCUUGAAGACAGAGGUGGAUGGGACGAGCUUGCUGUGAUGGGUGGGGCGGAGAGGCGUUGGAUCUGAAGAAACUGUGUAGUGGAGAUGGCAGAGGAAGCUAGCUGUGGUAGUGGUGGCGGCACUAAAAGAUAGAGCACUAGAAGAUAGGAGAUGAAUUUUAGGUUUAGAAAUUUUAGGUUUAGUUAAAAAUUUGGUUUAGUUUGGUUUAGUUUAAUAUCACAUUCAUAAAUAUGUAAACA
rnacentral:lncRNA from 1 species